rnacentral:lncRNA from 10 species
AUCUAGCACCGCCUCUUCCGCGUUCUCGGAGGAGCGAUCUGCAGGUAGGGGUGCGCGCGACCGCUCCCCGGCGGGAGCCAGCGAAGGUUUCCAUGUCAGAGGCCGAUGGAGAACUGAAGAUUGCCACCUACGCACAAAGGCCAUUGAGACACUUCGUGUAGCUGGAAGACACCAACUUCCUGACAGGAGCUUUAUUUCAUUUGGGAUUUCAAGUUUACAGAUGGUAUCUUCUCAAAAGUUGGAAAAACCUAUAGAUAGAGUCUCCCUCUGUCGCCCAGGCUGGAGUGCAGUGGUGCAAUCUCCGCUCACGGCAACCUCUGCCUCCCAGGUUCAAGCGAUUCUCCUGCCUCAGCUUCCUGAGUAGCUGGGAUUACAGGCGUGCACCACCACACCCAGCUAAUUUUUGUUUUUAGUAGAGACGGGUUUCAUCAUGUUAGCCAGGCUGGCCUCAAACUCCUGACCUCAAGUGAUCUGCCUGCCUUGGCCUCUCAAAGUGCUGGGAUUACAGGCAUGAGCCACUGCGCCUGGCCAGAUCUAUUUAAUUAUGAAAUUAAAACAACUACUUCAUAACAAAACAAGAUAAA